AGCCUUCUGCAUCCGUGCUGAGAUUUCGUCAGUGAUCAACCCUCUGGAGCUGGCUGAUGGUACUUCCCAAAUAAGUGAAGCG
rnacentral:pre_miRNA from 1 species